rnacentral:lncRNA from 1 species
CUAGGCAUGGGGAAAGGAUUGGUCAUACACACAUGGAUAAGAGGUACCUAUUGAUCGUUGAGGAUUCGCCUUUAUUUUAUUCGCCUUAAAAGUGCGCAGAAAACUGAUGUGGGACUAAGCGUCGCUCAUAACCUUACCCUGCAGGAUUCUAAUGCCCAAAAUACUCCUUUAUUAUCGUGGUGAAAAUAUCCUUGUGACGUCACAUUCUAAGGGCAUUAGCAUACUUAUUUCAUCUCUCUCUCUCAUGUGGGCAAUUAACAAGGAAAUCACAAUUUCCGAUGAGCAACUUAGCUGUCAAAAUUGCCAAAAUCUCAACAAAAACAUAGUCAACGUGAU